UGGGGAAUCUUGCACAAUGGGGGCAACCCUGAUGCAGCGACGCCGCGUGAGCGAUGAAGCCCUUCGGGGCGUAAAGCUCUUUCGACCGGAACGAUAAUGACGGUACCGGGAGAAGAAGCUGCGGCUAACUACGUGCCAGCAGCCGCGGUAAUACGUAGGCAGCAAGCGUUGUUCGGAGUUACUGGGCGUAAAGAGUGCGUAGGCGGUUUUCUAAGUUCGGUGUGAAAUCUCCCGGCUUAACUGGGAGGGUGCGCCGAAGACUGGGAAGCGGGAGUGUGGGAAAGGCAGGCGGAAUUCCUGGUGUAGCGGUGAAAUGCGUAGAGAUCAGGAGGAACACCGGCGGUGUAGACGGCAUGCUAGACCAUAACUGACGCUGAGGCACGAAAGCGUGGGUAGCAAAC
rnacentral:rRNA from 1 species